rnacentral:lncRNA from 1 species
UAAAAUAUAGCCAGAAGCUUAGAAAGUACACUGUUGAGAUAAAAAAAGAAAUACACCUAUUUGCAAAAUCAGGAUAGUUCAUGGACUAGCCACGCAUUUCACUCUUGUAAAUACAACCCAAACGACCUCUCCCGCCAAAAAUAAGACUCAAAUUAACGACCUCUCCUCCUCCGACCAAAUCCUCUCUCUCUCUCUCUCUCUCUCUCUCUCUCUCUCUCUCUCUCCUUUAAUUCUUGUUUGCUUCUCUAGAUCUUCUUUCUAGUAGCGGACAUGGAGGAGGCCUCUUCCUCUUCCUCUUCCUCUUCCUCUUCCUCGUCUCCAUCUCCUCGAGCGGCGCCUUGGAUGCAAAUCGCCGUCCGGGGGGUUCCGCUUUCCGCGAGCGAGGAGGACCUCAAGAACCACUUCGGGCGGUAUGGCCAGGUACUGGCGGUGUUGGAGGAUGCGCACGGGGAGCCGCAGGAUUCAGACGACAAGCAAGCAUUCAUUUUCUUCGCCGAUUCAGCCUCCGCGAUGCGAGCCUCAGCUAGCCGGGAGAAGAACAACCACAUCAUCCUCGGAAAACUGGUCCUCCUCUAUAUAUUUCUCUUUUCGCCAUUAAUUAUAAUUAAUCUUCCGAUCAAAUAAUUUCAUAUAUAGUUUCUUUUCUCUGUCUGUCUCUCUCUCUCUUUUGUUCUCUCUUGUCUAUGUACACGAUUGUGUGACUCAAAAAUUGUAUAUGUGUUGGUUACGGUAUUUAUAUUAUGCUCUUUGUAACGUUUUUCUGUAAAUUUGAUUCAAUUACUAUUCUUGAUCACUACACUCAUAUUGAGUUAAGUAUAUGAUCCCUAGUUUCUAUUGCAUAGGCAUGCGUAUCAAGAACGUUUAUAUGGGUAAUUUUUUUUUAAAAAAAACGAUUCCAUCUUUAUUUUUUUUUAUUUGACAGUAACAUUAUAUGCUAAUCAAGCAUUAACUCGUGGCCGAUCUUCUUUUUUUUUUUUUUCCUGUUAGUUUUUGUUACAUCUUCUUUUGAUCUGUGCUAUUUUCAGGUUGAGGUAAGUAGGUUUAGCAUUUGGCUUCAACAGAGGAGGAUCGAGGUAUAUAAUUUGCCGCCCGGUACGACGAGCAGCCAAUUUAGAGCCUAUUUUGAGGAAUUUGGCACUGUGACGGAAGCAGUCGUUGGACCCGACGGUUCAGGNUAUUUGUAUUGGACACGGUGAACCAUUCACCGUGUCCAAUACAAAAAUCUUGUAUUGAACACGGUGAAUGGUUCACCGUGUUCAACUUAUACAAUUGGCCCAGCCCCGCCCGCGUGGCUCUGACGUGGCGCUGACGGGGCGGGGCCAGGGCCAUUUUUGCAAAUAAUUUUUACACAGGGCUAUUUUCGAAAAUAAAUUUUUUUAUGGGGCUAUUUGCAAAAAAAACCCUUGAAAUAAAGAGUAUAGGGACCAAUUUGCAAUACCAGGAUAGUUCAUGGACUAGCCACGCAUUUCACUCUUGUAAAUACAACCCAAACGACCUCUCCCGCCAAAAAUAAGACUCAAAUUAACGACCUCUCCUCCUCCGACCAAAUCCUCUCUCUCUCUCUCUCUCUCUCUCUCUCUCUCUCUCUCUCUCCUUUAAUUCUUGUUUGCUUCUCUAGAUCUUCUUUCUAGUAGCGGACAUGGAGGAGGCCUCUUCCUCUUCCUCUUCCUCUUCCUCUUCCUCGUGUGCAUCUCCUCGAGCGGCGCCUUGGAUGCAAAUCGCCGUCCGGGGGGUUCCGCUUUCCGCGAGCGAGGAGGACCUCAAGAACCACUUCGGGCGGUAUGGCCAGGUACUGGCGGUGGUGGAGGAUGCGCACGGGGAGCCGCAGGAUUCAGACGACAAGCAAGCAUUCAUUUUCUUCGCCGAUUCAGCCUCCGCGAUGCGAGCCUCAGCUAGCCGGGAGAAGAACAACCACAUCAUCCUCGGAAAACUGGU